rnacentral:rRNA from 1 species
GACGAACGCUGGCGGCGUGCUUAACACAUGCAAGUCGAACGGAAAGGCCUGCUUUCCCUUGUGGUUUGCGUGUACUCGAGUGGCGAACGGGUGAGUAACACGUGAGUGAUCUGCCCCCAACUUGGUUAUAAGCCUGGGAAACUGGGUCUAAUUCUCGAUAGGACUGCAGGGUGCUGCCUGUGGUGGAAAACGAUUUUCUAGUGGUUGGGGAUGAGCUCGCGGACUAUCAGCUUGUUGGUGGGGUAAUGGCCUACCAAGGCGGCGACGGGUAGCCGGCCUGAGAGGGUGGACGGGCGAACUGGGAAAGGGGAAAGGCCCAGACGCGAAGCGGAAGGAGGAGUGGGGAAUAAUGGAGAAAGGGCGGGAGGCUGAAGCAGCGAGGGCGCGUGGGGGAUGACGGGCUUCGGGUUGUAAACUACUUUGGACCGAGAGGAAGGCACCUGGUUGGAAGGGUGGUGACGGUAGUGGUAGAAGAAGCACCGGCUAACUACGUG